rnacentral:rRNA from 1 species
GACGAACCGUCCAAACGUUAUUCGGAAUCACUGGGCUUACAGAGUUCGUAGGCGGUCUGGAAAGUUGGGUGUGAAAUCCCUCGGCUCAACCGAGGAACUGCGCUUGAAACUACCAGACUCGAGGGAGCUAGAGGAAAGCGGAACUGAUGGUGGAGCGGUGAAAUGCGUUGAUAUCAUCAGGAACACCGGUGGCGAAGGCGGCUUUCUGGGUCUUACCUGACGCUGAGGAACGAAAGCUAGGGGAGCGAACGGG